rnacentral:tRNA from 2 species
AAGAUAUUAGGUUAAGGGUAAACCUUUGACCUUCAAAGUCAAGAAUUUUUUUAAUAUCUUG